GGAAUUAAAUGAUUUCUUUCUUAGUUAAUUUAUUUUAUUGAAGGAUCAACUUGUUAGCUAAUAGAGUGUGUGGCUCUUUUCACCGCCCUCUUUUGUCUUCUUUUGUCUUAACUCAAAGAGCAAAGCUAUUUCCAUCGACAACUUUCAGUUUUCUGUAACAAAGUAAUUCAAAGUUUAAUCUCUAGUUUGAACCAGUUUUAUUUAGUUAUAUUGCAUCUUCAAGAUUAAAUAUUAUCGAUAGUCUUGUUAUAUUUCAUUAUCAUUUCCAUGGAGUAUCCAAUUUAAAGUGGCAAUUUGUGAUUUCUUCAUAUUUCUUCUAAUAUUAAUUGGCAAUCUAUUAAAUCAACUCUUUUAUCUGAUUUCACGAUGAUCCCCAUUUCUUGGAUAAUUAUGAUUAAUUGGUCUCUUUUUUUACAUGAUUUACAGCCUAUUGUGUCCUUCAAGGCAGGCUAGAAGGCAAUCUACUUGUGAGGCUGUUGAUUUAUCAAAGAAAAUUAUACUUGCUCAAUAAUAUUUAGAUGUUUGUCGAUCAAAGUCUGACCAGGGAGAGACGACAGAGAGGAUCUUCAACAACCUGAAUUGGAAUACGUUAUCUGAUGUUCAACUGUCAAUCAUCAGUUCGGCCAACAGUCAAAUCAAACCAAGGGUUAGGCCUGGAUCCUGAGGAACUGUAGUUUCAACUUUAAGGCAAAUUGGGAAUCUUGAUUGCAUCAAUUUUUAUCAUCAUUAUCAUCAUGAUCGUCAUCAUCAACCUAAAGAGCAACAAAAGCACCAAUUGUUUUCAUCUGAGGAAUAAAAGGGAUCAACUUAAAGCAAAUCAACAUCAUCUUGUUAACUUUUUAACAUGAUGUUUGCGGUUAAUAGCCAAAAAUCAAAUAAUCAAGAUCAAAGUUGAUUAAGCUCUUACAAUUUGGCUCUCUCUCUCUCCCUCCUGGAUUCUUAAUAGUGUUGAUACUGUUAAACUCAACAUGUUUUGAGACAAUUUAACCCUGAAUAGGCCUCAAUUUAACUAUUAAAGGGUGUUCUUGCCUGUUCUAAUCUUUCAACUUUGCUUUAAAAGAUUCACUGAACAGGUUUGUUCCCUAAGGUUAUCUUGAAGACUUGCCCAAGGCCUGAUGCACAAAAAAAGCCAAAAGAGAUGAUGUUCAUGAAAAGCUAUUAGGUUGACCGAGAUUCCAAUGAGUGAUUGUAUUUUGCACUGGAUUUUGGAAACAAAAAAGAAGAGUAUCAUGAUCAUGAUAGAAGCCGAUAAUAAUAACAUUUUCGAUGAAAUGAGCAAUGCGGGUUUUGAAAGGGCAGUUCAGACUCAUUUAAUUGGAUUUAAUACCCAAAAAGAGCCAUUCCAAACAAUAGUUGAUGCCAAAAGUGACCAUCUUGAUUUGUGCCCGUUGAAAGUAAACAAUCAAUCGUUUUGUUUAUCAAGCAAACGGAACAAUAUUAGAAUGAUUUAAUCUUUUAAUCAUGAAUAUAGCUGAUGAUAAAGAUCAAAAUGAAGAGUUUUUGGAGAAAUCUCAUUAACAACAUUUCCCAUACAGUUGAAUCAGAAGCCAUCAGAAGCAAUCUUGAAACAAACCUGAUGAUGAUUAUCAAAUUUAAAUUUAAAUUUUACUCAUUUGAUGCAGCCAAAAUUGCUCUUGAAAUUGAAUUUAAUCACAGCCAAAUAAUCAUGAAAUAUGUUUGACAAUUGGGGUUGAUUAAUAUGCUAAAAGUAAAUCACCAAGCUUUACUUUUGUACCUCCAAUGGUCACCUCACCAUAUAAUUAACUCUCAUGAAUCAUUUCUAAUCAUGGUUUCAAGGCAUUUCAAUUCUUCAUGCAGACCCGCAAAGAGUUAACAUGUAAAACCGUAAACCAUCCAAAUUAAAUAAGAUAAUCAUGUUAACCAAACCUCACACAAUCAUAAGGCAACUGUUGAAAAUUAAAGGUUUGAUUGUAAUCAAAAGUAAACCUGACCAAGAUAUGGCAAGACAAUUGACAUUAUUGAUUAAGUGUCACGUCAAACAGUUGUAUCAAAUUGUUUGAUCAAAAAAUGUCAGCCAAAAGACGAAAGUCAAUUAAUCAAGCAAGAUGAAGAUUUACCGAUUAAAUCAACACCAGGCCAUCAUGAUAAUCAUUUAUUUACACUUAAUGUUACAAUUGCAAUGUUAACAACUUUAAAUUUUCAAUUUAAACAUUUACUUUUUUGCCCAUCUAAUGAAUUCAAUUGCCAGACCAUAGCAACAACCAAAAGCUAAACAAAAGCCCGAAAAAAUCGCAUCAACCAAAUUUAUAAUUCAUUAAAGACUUUCAACUGAUUAAACGCACGGAAACACAAAUUGAGUUAAAAAUGACCGCAAAACAAAAGUCCAAUUCACAGCAACAUUAAAAGCUAUUAAAAGCCGGACAAAAGCAUAAACCAAAUUGAAUCUUAAUGAUGUGAGAAUGUCAUCGAUUGUGACAAUUUAACUUUAAGUUAUCAAUCAAUUGACAUUUCCAAACAUUUGUCAUUAACUUCAACCUUAACCAUGAAAUGGUGUAAAGCAAUUAAGAGUCAACAGUAAAGUUGCUUAAAGGUUCAACAGUUGAACCAUCAAACAAAAUAAAAUCUAAUUGUAACAAUUAAAAGGUAAAAGGCUAAAAAUUGCCUUUGAAAUGUUGAGUGAUUUAGAUUUUUUGCCGAGAUGGAAAAGUUUACCUUAAAAAAAAGAGCUGAGCAAAACUCAUUUUUACCCAUUUUCAUGGUUUCAACAUUAAAGUCAUUCCUUUAUCA